CGAAGGUGCUGGAGCAGAACACCAUGAGACAGAUCAGCAGCUGUAGGAUGACCCCGGUCAGCGACGACGUCCCCUUCACCCAGCCGAUCCCCGGCCUGGUGGUCAGCAGCGUGAAGAAGAGGAUGGCGUAGCCGACCAUCUGAUGCAGCAGGAUGUUCUGGUCCAGAGGAAGGACUCUGACGACCCAGGUGGCCCGGAGCCACGUCAGACAGCGUCGCAGCAUCAACACCUGAAAACACGCAAACACUAGAUAGAAAAACUGAUUCAGAGGAGCUGGAAGCUCAAUAAACCUAAACCUACACAGAC